UGGGGAAUUUUGCACAAUGGGGGAAACCCUGAUGCAGCGACGCCGCGUGAUUUAGAAGGCCUUCGGGUUGUAAAAAUCUUUUGUAUGGGAAGAAAAUGACAGUACCAUACGAAUAAGGACCGGCUAAUUACGUGCCAGCAGCCGCGGUAAUACGUAAGGUCCGAGCGUUGUCCGGAAUCAUUGGGCGUAAAGGGUACGUAGGCGGAUAAGCAAGUUAGAAGUGAAAUCCUAUAGCUCAACUAUAGUAAGCUUUUAAAACUGCUCAUCUUGGGGUAUGGAAGGGAAAGUGGAAUUCCUAGUGUAGCGGUGAAAUGCGCAGAUAUUAGGAGGAAAACCGGUGGCGAAGGCGACUUUCUGGCCAUAUACUGACGCUGAGGUACGAAAGCGUGGGUAGCAAACAGG
rnacentral:rRNA from 1 species